GCUUCAGGGGCUGUUCGUGAGAAAGUGAUUAUGAAAAAUGAAAACUGAAAGACAAAAAUCAAGAUUUUUAUUGGUGUCUCAGUUAAAAACAUUUAAGUGGUUAAAAACAUUUUUAUCUUUCGUUUACAAAGGAAUGUCACUGUGGCAAUUACAGGUGGUUAAGAGAUUAACAUUCCCUGCACAUCACCACCUGUCAUGAGACACUUCCUCAUACCAAAUCAUUCAGCGAGGAGAAAGCAGAUAAAAUGCGUGUGAGUCAAAGUGAGGCUGUGUUUGGAGGUGUUUGCGCACAGAGAUGAACACAUUUACCAUGUCUCUCUCUUUGCUACUGCUGCUGCUGGUUUACAGCACGCAAGCUACUCAUUUUUAUGGGACAGUGAUGACCUAUUACCCAGGAGACACUUAUGCAGAUGGAUCAGUUAUGGCGACUAUUCGAUACAAGCUGAACUUCCACCAAUGCACAGACAGUGACACAUGGAGUUGCCUCAGUGGUGACUGUGGCUCUGGGAACAACACACUAUAUGAGGUAAAACAGGAAAGCAGUGGAGAGUGGUGUCAGAGAGAGGGAAUCAUGACUUGAUGGGCUCCCAGCAAUGCUCCGUUCAAGCUUUGGUUGAAUAGUGGUAACUGGAUUAAUGGCAUUGUAAAUGGCAUUGUAUCAUGGAGAGCUGUGACUCUGGUGGAACUGAGGAACAGAUCUGACACCGCAAAA